rnacentral:rRNA from 1 species
AUUGAACGCUGGCGGCAGGCCUAACACAUGCAAGUCGAGCGGAUGAAGGGAGCUUGCUCCUGGCUUCAGCGGCGGACGGGUGAGUAAUGCCUAGGAAUCUGCCUGGUAGUGGGGGCUAACGUCCGGACACGGGCGCUAAUACCGCAUACGUCCUGAGGGUGAAAGUGGGGGAUCUUCGGACCUCACGCUAUCAGAUGAGCCUAGGUCGGAUUAGCUAGUUGGUGGGGUAAAGGCCUACCAAGGCGACGAUCCGUAACUGGUCUGAGAGGCUGAUCAGUCACACUGGAACUGAGACGCGGUCCAGACUCCUACGGGAGGCAGCAGUGGGGAAUAUUGGACAAUGGGCGAAAGCCUGAUCCAGCCAUGCCGCGUGUGUGAAGAAGGUCUUCGGAUUGUAAAGCUCUGUAAGUUGGGAGGAAGGGCAGUAAGUUAAUACCUUGCUGUUUUGACGUUACCAACAGAAUAAGCACCGGCUAACUUCGUG